rnacentral:rRNA from 1 species
AUUGAACGCUGGCGGCAUGCUUUACACAUGCAAGUCGAACGGUAACAGGUUAAGCUGACGAGUGGCGAACGGGUGAGUAAUGCAUCGGAACGUGCCCGGUCGUGGGGGAUAACGCAGCGAAAGCUGCGCUAAUACCGCAUACGAUCUGAGGAUGAAAGCGGGGGACCGUAAGGCCUCGCGCGAUCGGAGCGGCCGAUGUCAGAUUAGGUAGUUGGUGGGGUAAAGGCUCACCAAGCCAACGAUCUGUAGCUAGUCUGAGAGGACGACCAGCCACACUGGGACUGAGACACGGCCCAGACUCCUACGGGAGGCAGCAGUGGGGAAUUUUGGACAAUGGGCGAAAGCCUGAUCCAGCAAUGCCGCGUGCAGGAAGAAGGCCUUCGGGUUGUAAACUGCUUUUGUACGGAGCGAAAAGGUCCUUUCUAGUACAGGGGCUCAUGACGGUACCGUAAGAAUAAGCACCGGCUAACUACGUGCCAGCCGCCGCCGUAA